rnacentral:tRNA from 1 species
GGUAGGAUUAAUUUAACUGGCAAAAUAUCGUUUUGUGGCAACGAAUACUCGAGUUCGAUCCUCGAAUCUUAUC